rnacentral:rRNA from 1 species
GAUGAACGCUGGCGGCGUGCCUAAUACAAGCAAGUCGAGCGAACGGACGAGAAGCUUGCUUCUCUGAUGUUAGCGGCGGACGGGUGAGUAACACGUGGAUAACCUACCUAUAAGACUGGGAUAACUUCGGGAAACCGGAGCUAAUACCGGAUGAUAUUUUGAACCGCAUGGUUCAAAAGUGAAAGACGGUCUUGCUGUCACUUAUAGAUGGAUCCGCGCUGCAUUAGCUAGUUGGUAAGGUAACGGCUUACCAAGGCAACGAUGCAUAGCCGACCUGAGAGGGUGAUCGGCCACACUGGAACUGAGACACGGUCCAGACUCCUACGGGAGGCAGCAGUAGGGAAUCUUCCGCAAUGGGCGAAAGCCUGACGGAGCAACGCCGCGUGAGUGAUGAAGGUCUUCGGAUCGUAAAACUCUGUUAUUAGGGAAGAACAUAUGCGUAAGUAACUGUGCACAUCUUGACGGUACCUAAUCAGAAAGCCACGGCUAACUACGUG